CUGCCAGUGAUAAACUGGAGGAAGGUGGGGAUGACGUCAAGUCAUCAUGGCCCUUACGACCAGGGCUACACACGUGCUACAAUGGCGCAUACAAAGAGAAGCGACCUCGCGAGAGCAAGCGGACCUCAUAAAGUGCGUCGUAGUCCGGAUUGGAGUCUGCAACUCGACUCCAUGAAGUCGGAAUCGCUAGUAAUCGUGGAUCAGAAUGCCACGGUGAAUACGUUCCCGGGCCUUGUACACACCGCCCGUCACACCAUGGGAGUGGGUUGCAAAAGAAGUAGGUAGCUUAACCUUCGGGAGGGCGCUUACCACUUUGUGAUUCAUGACUGGGGUGAAGUCGUAACAAGGUAACCGUAGGGGAACCUGCGGUUGGAUCACCUCCUUACCUUAAAGAAGC
rnacentral:rRNA from 1 species